UACGAAGGGAGCUAGCGUUGUUCGGAAUCACUGGGCGUAAAGCGCACGUAGGCGGAUGUGUCAGUCAGGGGUGAAAUCCCGGAGCUCAACUUCGGAACUGCCUUUGAUACAGCACGUCUUGAGUCCGAUAGAGGUGGGUGGAAUUCCUAGUGUAGAGGUGAAAUUCGUAGAUAUUAGGAAGAACACCGCUGGCGAAGGCGGCCCACUGGAUCGGUACUGACGCUGAGGUGCGAAAGCGUGGGGAGCAAACAGG
rnacentral:rRNA from 1 species